AACAAACGCUGGCGGCGUGCCUAAUACAUGCAAGUCGAACGGGGAAAGCUUUCGGGUGAGUACUAGUGGCGCACGGGUGAGUAACGCGUGGAUAAUCUGCCUUAGAGUGGGGGAUAACUAGUCGAAAGAUUAGCUAGUACCGCAUAAGACCACAAGAACUGCGGUUCAAGAGGUCAAAGGUUUUUCGCUCUAAGAUGAGUCCGCGUAAGAUUAGCUAGUUGGUGAGGUAACGGCUCACCAAGGCAACGAUCUUUAACUGGUCUGAGAGGAUGAUCAGUCACACGGGAACUGGGACACGGUCCAGACUCCUACGGGAGGCAGCAGUAGGGAAUAUUGCACAAUGGAGGAAACUCUGAUGCAGCGACGCCGCGUGAGUGAUGAAGGCCUUCGGGUCAUAAAGCUCUGUCGCAGGGGAAUAACACAAUGAAUGUACCCUGUAAGAAAGGAUCGGCUAACUUCGUGCCAGCCGCCGCAGUAAAAC
rnacentral:rRNA from 1 species